ensembl:lncRNA
GGAUAAAUUUUAGUUUAUAUUUAUUUAAAUGGGUUCAUAUUUUUAAAAAACACAUUUUUUGUCCUGUUGGUAAAAGUGAUGUAAUAUUCAGGCCUAUGUAAAAUAUCAGAUAUUUGUAGAAUUUAAAAAUUAUAAGUCCUAUUAAAAAUCCUUUGAUGGCUAAAAUAAAAGAUAAAAAUUUACUUCAUAAUUAGUAAGAUUUUAAUAGUCGUUUUUUUAAAAUUAAAAGAUUUNNNNNNNNNNNNNNNNNNNNNNNNNNNNNNNNNNNNNNNNNNAAGUAUGUUUAGUUUUAAAUAUAAAAAUAUUUAAGAAAAUAUAGAGAAUAACUAGUAGCUUAUUUAAAAAACAACAAUAGCCAAAGAUGCAAAGCCUAGUUUCUUAUGCAUAGCAGAUGCUACAGAUAAAAUGCUUUCUUUUAUCCAAUAAAUUUUCCCAAUGCUUUUCUGCUGAGGUUUCCUCCCCGGAAGCCUGCGGCCUUUGUGAUGUGGGUUUCACCUGGAGAUCAGGACAAAGAUAUUGGAUAUUCAUGUUUUCUGAAGACACUAUACAAAUUAAUCCAUAAGAUAUAAAAGGAGAGGGAGAAUGCUGCCAAGAAACUCUUUUACCCUUACGCAGUUACCAAGUGCACAUAUUUAUUUAUCAUUUUAGGGAGCUGUCAUCAUAGAAGGAUGAAGAUUAAAUAAGCAAGUAAGUUUUAGUAAAAUUUAACCUUUUCUUAGGAUCACUUGCGGUCAAAGGUAUAAUGAAAGGUGGUGCUUUGGGUGUGGUGGUGGUUUAGUUGCUAAGUUGCGUCUCACUCUUGGGACCCCAUAGACUGUAGCCCACCUAGCUUCUCUGUCAGUGGGAUUCCCCAGGCAAGAAUACAGAGAGGGCUACAUAUUUCCUUCUCCAGGGGGUCUUCCAGACCCAAGGACCAAAUCUGUGUCUCCUGCAUUGCAAGUAAAUUCUUUACUGCUGAGUUACCAGGGACGCUUUGGAAAGUCAGAAAAAAAUCUGAUAAACAUGAUAGGCUGAAAAGCUAAAUAUAUUUUUACUGUUUUGCCCAAGGCUGGUACUUCAUUAUUUAUUCAGCUUGGGCUAUGAGUUUAGUUCUUCAUUCAACAAGAAGUUACUGAGUACCUACUUUUCAGUAUUCCACCAAGUGACAAAGACGAAAAGAACAGAGCCCCUGCUCUAGAAGGAGGCAGUGUUGAUGCAAGGGUUUCAUAAGACUCACCUAGUGGUUUUGCUUCCAAGGAAAUGCCUCAAUCCCAUCCCCAGAGACUGGGAUUCAGGAAGCAUGGAGCCACAGAGGAGAGGGUGCAGGUAUCCUCCGAGCAUGGGCUGGCCUGGGUCUGGGGUUUGGGUCUGAAUUUUUGCUCUAAAUUCAGACUAGCCAUUUAUUAGAAGGAAUAAAGUGCAUCUUGACAAGAUGAAAGGAACAGACCAAGAAGGAAAGCAUAUAAGAUAGAGGAAAAAAUGAUCAGGAAGUGAAGGUGAGGGACAGAGGGAAAGGAAAAUGAAUGUGAAGUAACUGAGUGGGUCUCGAAAGAGAAAAGAAAGUAUACCACUGGGGUGACACAAACACCAGGCUCUUUCCACACAGGAAGUCUCCUUACACCUGAAGAGGUGGAGUUCCAGACUCCACAGAGCAGGAAACCAUGAGAGCCCCUAGCUGUGAGGCACCCGCGCUUGUCCCUGCUCCUAGAAGAAGGCGCAUCCUUGGGUUAUGGAUUGCUGUGGCAGCCACCCUUGUAUUCUGGGGAAGAGGGGCUCCAGCAGUGUGUGCUUGAGGGACUUUAAAAAGCCUCAGAGGUUCACACAUUCAGUCACUA